rnacentral:lncRNA from 1 species
CAGCGAACCACCGUACUCCAGAAACACGAGUGGGCAAAUACGACAGAAGUGCCUCGAGGGACACGUGCAGCAUCUAGCCGACCUUUGGUUCUACUUGAAAACGUGCCUCCCUUAGCUGGCAGCACCGACGUGCGCCUCAUGAGGACUCACCUGUUGAGCAUCGUGAAUGAGACGAGACUCACGCCGCUGACUUGCGAAGUGCUGCGAUCACCUGUUGUCAGUAUGCCGAACCUCAAGGAAGCAACGGAUCGCGCUGUUUCCUACAAUCCAAUAUAUCCUUUGUUAGAGGACGAAGAAAAGGAAGACCUCAUUCGAUCCACGGCUGACAUCCUCGCCGGAAGAGCCGAAGGAAUUGCGGAAGGCAAAGUCAGCGGUGACCGAUUUACGUACGUUAUCCACGCUUACAAGCCUGCACAAUAAAAGCUAGAAAACUGCGUGGUGCCGAGAAGUGACCACAGUAGAAAAAGUCAAAUGCAAAAUAUCUUAUCGUUUCCCU